UACGUAGGGAGCGAGCGUUGUCCGGAUUUAUUGGGCGUAAAGCGCGCGUAGGCGGUUCGGUAAGUCGGGUGUGAAAACUCCAAGCUCAACUUGGAGCCUGCAUUCGAAACUGCUGUGACUUGAGUCAGGUAGGGGAACACGGAAUUCCAGGUGUAGCGGUGAAAUGCUUAGAUAUCUGGAGGAACACCAGUGGCGAAGGCGGUGUUCUGGGCCUGUACUGACGCUGAGGCGCGAAAGCGUGGGGAGCGAACAGG
rnacentral:rRNA from 1 species